AGAGUUUGAUCCUGGCUCAGGACGAACGCUGGCGGCGUGCUUAACACAUGCAAGUCGAGCGGAAAGGCCCUUCGGGGUACUCGAGCGGCGAACGGGUGAGUAACACGUGAGUAACCUGCCCUUGGCUUUGGGAUAACCCUCGGAAACGGGGGCUAAUACCGGAUAUGACUGCUGCCCGCAUGGGUGGUGGUGGAAAGAUUUUUCGGCUGAGGUUGGACUCGCGGCCUAUCAGCUUGUUGGUGGGGUGAUGGCCUACCAAGGCGACGACGGGUAGCCGGCCUGAGAGGGCGACCGGCCACACUGGGACUGAGACACGGCCCAGACUCCUACGGGAGGCAGCAGUGGGGAAUAUUGCACAAUGGGCGGAAGCCUGAUGCAGCGACGCCGCGUGAGGGAUGAAGGCCUUCGGGUUGUAAACCUCUUUCAGCAGGGACGAAGCGUAAGUGACGGUACCUGCAGAAGAAGCGCCGGCCAACUACGUGCCAGCAGCCGCGGUAAGACGUAGGGCGCGAGCGUUGUCCGGAUUUAUUGGGCGUAAAGAGCUCGUAGGCGGCUUGUUGCGUCGACCGUGAAAACCCGGGGCUUAACUUCGGGCUUGCGGUCGAUACGGGCGGGCUAGAGUUCGGUAGGGGAGACUGGAAUUCCUGGUGUAGCGGUGAAAUGCGCAGAUAUCAGGAGGAACACCGGUGGCGAAGGCGGGUCUCUGGGCCGAUACUGACGCUGAGGAGCGAAAGCGUGGGGAGCGAACAGGAUUAGAUACCCUGGUAGUCCACGCUGUAAACGUUGGGCGCUAGGUGUGGGGGGCCUCUCCGGUUCUCUGUGCCGCAGCUAACGCAUUAAGCGCCCCGCCUGGGGAGUACGGCCGCAAGGCUAAAACUCAAAGGAAUUGACGGGGCCCGCACAAGCGGCGGAGCAUGCGGAUUAAUUCGAUGCAACGCGAAGAACUUUACCUGGGUUUGACAUGGUCGGAAAAC
rnacentral:rRNA from 1 species